rfam:Pan troglodytes isolate Yerkes chimp pedigree #C0471 (Clint) chromosome 7, whole genome shotgun sequence.
CAUGACUUAGCUUAAUUAAAGUGAUUGAUUUGCAUUCAAUUGAUGCAGAAUACAGUUUUGCAGUCUUUA